UACGUAGGGUGCGAGCGUUGUCCGGAAUUAUUGGGCGUAAAGAGCUUGUAGGCGGUUUGUCGCGUCUGCCGUGAAAUUUCGAGGCUCAACCUCGAACUUGCGGUGGGUACGGGCAGACUAGAGUGUGGUAGGGGAGACUGGAAUUCCUGGUGUAGCGGUGAAAUGCGCAGAUAUCAGGAGGAACACCGGUGGCGAAGGCGGGUCUCUGGGCCGAUACUGACGCUGAGGAGCGAAAGCGUGGGGAGCGAACAGG
rnacentral:rRNA from 1 species